UACGGGGGGGAGCAAGCGUUGUUCGGAUUUACUGGGCGUAAAGGGCGCGUAGGCGGCCACCGCAAGUCGACUGUGAAAUCUCCGGGCUUAACCCGGAAAGGUCAGCCGAUACUGCGGGGCUAGAGUGCAGAAGGGGCAACUGGAAUUCUCGGUGUAGCGGUGAAAUGCGUAGAUAUCAGGAGGAACACCGGUGGCGAAGGCGGUUCUCUGGGCAUUACCUGACGCUGAGGAGCGAAAGUGUGGGGAGCGAACAGG
rnacentral:rRNA from 1 species